CCCUGCUAGAGACGCUGGCGGCGUGCCUAAUACAUGCAAGUCCGAACGAACUCUGGUAUUGAUUGGUGCUUGCAUCAUGAUUUACAUUUGAGUGAGUGGCGAACUGGUGAGUAACACGUGGGAAACCUGCCCAGAAGCGGGGGAUAACACCUGGAAACAGAUGCUAAUACCGCAUAACAACUUGGACCGCAUGGUCCGAGCUUGAAAGAUGGCUUCGGCUAUCACUUUUGGAUGGUCCCGCGGCGUAUUAGCUAGAUGGUGGGGUAACGGCUCACCAUGGCAAUGAUACGUAGCCGACCUGAGAGGGUAAUCGGCCACAUUGGGACUGAGACACGGCCCAAACUCCUACGGGAGGCAGCAGUAGGGAAUCUUCCACAAUGGACGAAAGUCUGAUGGAGCAACGCCGCGUGAGUGAAGAAGGGUUUCGGCUCGUAAAACUCUGUUGUUAAAGAAGAACAUAUCUGAGAGUAACUGUUCAGGUAUUGACGGUAUUUAACCAGAAAGCCACGGCUAACUACGUGCCAGCAGCCGCGGUAAUACGUAGGUGGCAAGCGUUGUCCGGAUUUAUUGGGCGUAAAGCGAGCGCAGGCGGUUUUUUAAGUCUGAUGUGAAAGCCUUCGGCUCAACCGAAGAAGUGCAUCGGAAACUGGGAAACUUGAGUGCAGAAGAGGACAGUGGAACUCCAUGUGUAGCGGUGAAAUGCGUAGAUAUAUGGAAGAACACCAGUGGCGAAGGCGGCUGUCUGGUCUGUAACUGACGCUGAGGCUCGAAAGUAUGGGUAGCAAACAGGAUUAGAUACCCUGGUAGUCCAUACCGUAAACGAUGAAUGCUAAGUGUUGGAAGGUUUCCGCCCUUCAAUGCUGCAGCUAACGCAUUAAGCGUUCGCCUGGGGAGUACGAGCCGCAAGGCUGAAACUCAAGGGAAUUGGCUGGGGCCGA
rnacentral:rRNA from 2 species